UACGUAGGUGGCAAGCGUUGUCCGGAUUUACUGGGCGUAAAGAGCGCGCAGGCGGUCGUUCAAGUCGCGUGUGAAAGCCCCCGGCUCAACUGGGGAGGGUCACGCGAUACUGAUCGACUGGAAGGCAGGAGAGGGUAGUGGAAUUCCCGGUGUAGUGGUGAAAUGCGUAGAUAUCGGAAGGAACACCAGUGGCGAAAGCGGCUUCCUGGUCCGACACCGACGUUCAGGCACGAAAGCGUGGGGAGCAAACAGG
rnacentral:rRNA from 1 species